rnacentral:lncRNA from 12 species
GCCGGGGUGGGGCCGCGCCGCUCACGAGGACGCACACCCUGGCCCGUGACUGCCCGAAGUGUGCAGUGGCGAGAGGUUGGGCUGCCCCGGGCGCGGGCUUCACCCAGCAGUGGACGAAUCAGCAGAGUGCCGGUGCCCUAACACGCUAAGGACCUGCAAGCAAACGGCAGCUCCGGCCCUAACAGAACGCACGACAUAGCAGGGCGGGAACCUGUGCCAGCGGCCCUCAGGCCCCAGGGUGUUCGGAGCCACGGCUCACGGCCCGUCUGGAGCCGUUGGGGGCUGCGGGCUCACGAGCGCUUCGGAGGCUCUGGUGCUGGGGGCCCGGGCCGCGGGCAGCACUCAGACCCCGCGAGCCGUGUGACCCAGUGUUGGCAGGGCGCCAAGGGUCCUGCAGGGAGAGCAGGGAAGCCGGGAGCAGGGCUCUCUCCCUGGGUAUGAGCUGUCCCGGCGCUCACUCACCUCUGGGGCCCUGGAGCCAGGACCUACGCGACGUGGACGGGGACGGCAUCGCCCCUCACGGCCCCUGCAGCCGCUGGCUGGUUCACGUCGGGAAGGACAUGGCAUGGACAGGUGCCGCCGCGCCCAGGCCGGGAGUUCCCGCAGCUCGGCCUCCCUCCCCACCUCCCCACCAGGCACGGAGACCCACGGAAGGGGAUGGCGUCCGAGCAGGGUCCCCUGUGGUCCCUGCCUCGGGUCCAGCUCCCUCUCCACCUGCCUGGGUGCCCUCCAGAUGUGGCAUCUUUGCAUCUACUGUAUAAGGGCAAGCCUGGCCACGUCAAUACCUUCCUCAAGAGCCGCGGAUCCCGGUGCUCCUACUUCCUCAGACCUCAGCAAACAUCACCGAGUCGCUGCCGGGGGCCAAGGAGGCUCCAGGAGCCUACAGCGAGAGCCGUGCGCUGCGUGUGCCUCGCCCUCCAGGGAGCGUGCCCUGCCCGGUGCUCCCCGCGCAUGCCCUCGGAUGGCUGUGCACAGUCCUAUAGAACAUAUCGCCUCUGCAUCCUGACUUGUAAAUGCUGUUAACAGCUCACACUCACAUGAGUCUCUAUUCCCUGGGCAUCGUAUCAUUAUCGUUAAGGCAAACCUCUCAGAUUUGUUUUUUUUUGUACUUUCAAAGGUUCCUUGUUGACAUGAAUGAAUUAAUGCAGAAGAAUACGUUCUUCAAGCUCUUGCGUGUUCUUCUCCAGCCUGGGAUCAGAGAAGCAAGACUAGAUAGAGCUAAGGGAGGGUAGACACCGCCUGGCCCUACACACUCAUUUCACAAG